CAGAUCCUGCAUGUAGCAUCGCAGUUCAAAGCACAGCUCGAGGGGCCCAGUCACAGAACCAGUCAGCAAGCCAAGCAGGUUGCUAUGGUCACCACCUCUGUUCCCUGCCUGCCACACCAGGUGUUGGUGCACUUCCUCCCCAGGGAGGUAGGAACAGCCACCUUCAACCCCCACCACCAAAAGCUGAGCCUGGAUGUCCAAACUGAUGAAGCAGCCCACACACCAAGAGGGUGUGGAGAGUUUCAUCACUCACAGUGCGGCUUUCUGAACAGCAGGGCAGGCUCCCAGCAGAACAUGAUUAUCUGCUUGCUCAGGGAUGCUGGGCAGGUUGUUUUGUCUCCCGUGCAUUUUGGUGUAAUCCCAGGCAGUCUAGCG
ensembl:lncRNA